UAAUACGUAGGGGGCAAGCGUUAUCCGGAUUUACUGGGUGUAAAGGGAGCGUAGGUGGUUUGGUAAGUCAGGUGUGAAAGCCCGGGGCUCAACUCCGGGAUUGCACUUGAAACUAUCAAACUAGAGUGCAGGAGAGGUAAGUGGAAUUCCUAGUGUAGCGGUGAAAUGCGUAGAUAUUAGGAGGAACACCAGUGGCGAAGGCGGCUUACUGGACUGUAACUGACACUGAGGCUCGAAAGCGUGGGGAGCAAACAGG
rnacentral:rRNA from 1 species